GAAGUUAUAGUCAAAUAUGAUAUUUAAGUUGCAUUUAAAAGGUGUUUUUAACUAACUUU
rnacentral:tRNA from 1 species